AAUUGUUGUUCUGCAUCAAGUUGCAAAUUUUGUUUCAUAUAAAAAAACCCAUAGCAGCAAUUAAAGAUGGUGAGACUUUACACUCUUUUGCUUUUGUGCGUUGUAUUUUUCGUAUUCAGCGUCAAUGGUCAAUGUGCAAAAGAAAAUGAAUCGUGCAGCAGAACUAAACCUUGCUGUACUGGACUUCGAUGCAACAGUGGCAAAUGCCGACGAGGAGGCUAAACAAAAUUUUAAUUCUAAACAACGAUACUUUAUGUAAAUGAAAAUUGCUUCAGUUUUUUAUAUUCAAAUUUUUUACUUUAAACCUAUUGCUUCAAAUAAUAAAUAUUAGGAAAAGAAAAUA